rnacentral:tRNA from 1 species
GCCGAGGUGGUGGAAUUGGUAGACACGUGGGACUUAAAAUCCCAUGGUAAUUCACAUUGCCGUGCCGGUUCAAGUCCGGCCCCCGGCACCA